rnacentral:ncRNA from 1 species
GAAAGGGGGUGCCUCGCAACGAGGCUGAGAUUAUACCCUUAGAACCUGAUCCGGACAGUGCCGGCGGAGGGAUUGGAU